CCAAGGUCUUUCCCAUGUGAUGCUGUUCACUUCAUGAGGAAGAGGCAGGAAGCUCCACACCAUAAGCAGCUUCCUAUGUGGAAUAUUCAUAUGCUCCACUUCUGAUACACAGCCUGAGCGUUGCAGAACCACAAAAGGAGAAAAUGACCUAAGAACACUGUGCCGUCAAUGGCCAUGGGAUGGUGGCAUACAGUGGGUAUCAGUAGACACGCAUCCAGUUUUGGAGGACUCAGAAUAUAGAAAGGAGGGUUAAGAGAUUCAUUCAUGUCACUGUGAGUGUGGGAGCAAUCUAUCAUCUAUAGGAUAGACCAGCCUUGAACUGAUUGGAUGAGGCCUGCCCUCAUUACUGAGGCUUCUCUUCAAAGUCAACUGUGCAUCACCUCUACAGGAAACCUCGGCCACAACUGCACUGAUGUUUGACCGAACAGCUGAGCACCAUGGACCAGGCAAGUUGGCAUGUACAGUUGGGUCAGGGGAGCUGUGUUCUCUCCUACUAGAGAGAGCAUAAAAUGGGACUCUGAGAAGGUGACA